CCUACGGGUGGCAGCAGUCGAGAAUCAUUCACAAUGGGGGAAACCCUGAUGGUGCGACGCCGCGUGGGGGAAUGAAGGUCUUCGGAUUGUAAACCCCUGUCAUGUGGGAGCAAAUUAAAAAGAUAGUACCACAAGAGGAAGAGACGGCUAACUCUGUGCGAGUAGCCGCGGUAAUACAGAGGUCUCAAGCGUUGUUCGGAAUCACUGGGCGUAAAGCGUGCGUAGGCUGUUGCGUAAGUCGUGUGGGAAAGGUGCGGGCUCAACCCGCGGACGGCACAUGAUACUGCGAGACUAGAGUAAUGGAGAGGGAACCGGAAUUCUCGGUGUAGCAGUGAAAUGAGUAGAUAUCGAGAGGAACACUCGUGGCGAAGGCGGGUUCCUGGACAUUAACUGACGCUGAGGCACGAAGGCCAGGGGAGCGAAAGGGAUUAGAUACCCCAGUAGUC
rnacentral:rRNA from 1 species